AGGUAUUUUAGGCUUUUCCUUUUUAAAAUUCUCUACAACUAUUAUGAUUUUAAGAAGGGGAAGAGUUAGAAGCAUUUACAGACUUUUCACAACAAUGACCCUGCCUGUGUGUCAGCCAGGCCCUGGGGAGACAACGGAGACAAAAAACCAAGUCCCUGCACUCAUGGAACUUACUUCUUGGCCCUGGUACGUGAUGUUCCCCACCCUGUGUCCAAGUGUUCGAAAUGAGGAGAUUUAUUAUGAAAAUUGGCUCACACAAUUAUGGAGGCCUUCAAGAAGUCCCACAAUAUCUGCCGGGUGCGGUGGCUCACGCCUGUAAUCCCAGCACUUUGGGAGGCCAAGGCGGGUGGAUCACCUGAGUUCAAGAGUUCCAGACCAGCCUGGCCAACAUGGUGAAACCUUGUCUCUACUAAAAAUACAAAAAAAAAAAAAAACAUUAGCUGGGCGUGGUAGCAUGCGCCUGUAGUCCCAGU